ACCAUUCCCCCUUACCUGAUCUUGUCUAAGGUUGCUCGUACCCCGGCCAGUACCACGAGGAGGUACACUGAGAAAACUGAAGUUAUGUUAUUCAUAAUACCUUUCGUAUGAUACAGUAUUUUGCUAGCUGAAAAACAUUUCAUACGACGCGUAUGAUUUUCAUAACUCGCUUAUGAAGAACAUACGAAUUAGAUUCAAUAUUCAUACGCGGCCCUAUAAUAUUUCAUACGAUGUGCUUAUGAAAUCCAAAGCAAGCCUUGUUUGAUAAAUAUCAUACGAUUGUCUUAACGGAACAAAUAGGGGUUUGAACAAAUGAAGCCCGCGAGUUUUUAAGUUCUGGCGAAUACGAUGGCUGUUUUUAAAGGUAAAUAGCAAGAGAAUAAUAUUAAAAUGUAUUUAUAAUAAUCGAUAAUUCUAUGUAAAGUGACGCAAAUAUGGAGGCUUGGGCAAACGAUAAAAUUUGCUAAACUUUGUCUCGUGCAAUGGCAACAGAAUGGAAAUACGAAGUUAUUUGAGCGUGGCAUCAAAAACAAUCUGUCCAACUUAUCAAUAGUGACGAAGAAGGUUCCGUGAGUGAUGCUAAGCUUUUUCCCAGUUCUAAGAACGGCGUUAUUAGAUUCGAUGACAGUUGCAACGGGGAGAUAAAUUAUUGAUUUGUAAUUCACAAACAAUGAUAAAAUGUAUGGUUUCUGAUAAAUGUUUAUUUUUGUAUUUUUGUUUCAAA